rnacentral:rRNA from 1 species
UACGGAGGGUGCAAGCGUUAAUCGGAAUUACUGGGCGUAAAGCGUGCGCAGGCGGUUUGUUAAGUCUGCUGUGAAAUCCCCGAGCUCAACUUGGGAAUUGCGGUGGAUACUGGCAGGCUGGAGUAUGGUAGAGGAAGGUGGAAUUCCCGGUGUAGCAGUGAAAUGCGUAGAGAUGCGGAGGAACACCGAUGGCGAAGGCAGCCCCCUGGGCUAACACUGACGCUCAGGCACGAAAGCGUGGGGAGCAAACAGG